GGGGAAUAUUGCACAAUGGGCGCAAGCCUGAUGCAGCCAUGCCGCGUGUAUGAAGAAGGCCUCCGGGUUGUAAAGUACUUCAAGCGGGGGGGAAGGUGUUGUGGUUACAAACCGCAGAAAUUGACGUUCCGCGAGUAAGAAGCCCGGCGAAACCAGUUGCCAGCAGCGCGGUAAACGGAGGGUGCAAGCGUUAAUCGGAAUUACUGGGCGUAAAGCGCACGCAGGCGGUCUGUCAAGUCGGAUGUGAAAUCCCCGGGCUCAACCUGGGAACUGCAUUCGAAACUGGCAGGCUAGAGUCUUGUAGAGGGGGGUAGAAUUCCAGGUGUAGCGGUGAAAUGCGUAGAGAUCUGGAGGAAUAUCGGUGGCGAAGGCGGCCCCCUGGACAAAGACUGACGCUCAGGUGCGAAAGCGUGGGGAGCAAACA
rnacentral:rRNA from 1 species